GACGAACGCUGGCGGCGUGCUUAACACAUGCAAGUCGAACGGAGUGGCGAACGGGUGAGUAACACGUGGGUGAUCUGCCUUGCACUUCGGGAUAAGCUUGGGAAACUGGGUCUAAUACCGGAUAGUGCAAGAUGAGCUCGCGGCCUAUGAGCUUGUGGGUGGGGUAAUGGUCUACCAAGGGGUCGAGGGGUAGCCGGCCUGCGAGGGUGUACGGCAACAUUGGGCCUAGGAUACGGCCCAGACUCCUACGGGGGGCAGCAGUGGGGAGUAUUGCACAAUGGGGGGGAGACUGAGGGAGGGACGCCGCGUGGGGGAGGAAGGCCAUCGGGUUGUAAACUCCUUACGACAGGGACGCGGUACCUGUAUAAGAAGCACCGGCUAACUACGUGCCAGCAGCCGCGGUAAUUC
rnacentral:rRNA from 1 species